CACGUAGGGGGCAAGCGUUGUCCGGAUUUAUUGGGCGUAAAGAGCUCGUAGGCGGCUCAGUAAGUCGGGUGUGAAACCUCCAGGCUCAACCUGGAGACGCCACCUGAUACUGCUGUGGCUAGAGUCCGGUAGGGGAGCGGUGGAAUUCCUGGUGUAGCGGUGAAAUGCGCAGAUAUCAGGAGGAACACCAGCGGCGAAGGCGGCGCUCUGGGCCGGAACUGACGCUGAGGAGCGAAAGCGUGGGUAGCAAACAGG
rnacentral:rRNA from 1 species